GCUUGCAUGAGUUUACCAAUUUUACAGGAAGAAAGAAAGAGUGAGAAGGGGGCAAAUCAACAAAAGGUGAGAUGAACAUGUGAAAUGAACAGACUUGCACAACAAGAGACCAGACUAAGGAGUCUUAGACCUCCAUCUUAUUUGGAGUGGAGAGCUACAGUUCUCAGUCUUUUCUGGUUGCUCUGAUAAAGCAAUGGAUGGAAACUGAAACAAAAUUAAAACCAACUUCCUCAUAAAAUAUAAAUACAAUAUAAAGUAAUUGCUGC